rnacentral:hammerhead_ribozyme from 1 species
GCACUACAGACGAGUCCCAAACAGGACGAAACAGCUGUCUAGUGC